CUCCGAGCUACUCCAAAAGGGUGAUCUGGUAGUAUGCCCAGAGGGUACCACUUGUCGCGAGAAUUUCUUGCUGCGAUUCAGCUCAUUGUUUGCAGAAAUGAGCAGCGAUAGGAUUGUACCUGUGGCGAUCAACUGCAAGCAAAGUAUGUUCUAUGGAACAACCGUACGCGGCGUCAAAUAUUGGGAUCCUUAUUUCUUCUUUAUGAACCCAAGGCCAACCUAUGAGGUCAAAUUCCUGGAACGCUUGCCGGAAGAGAUGACCGUUAAGGCCGGAGGGAAAUCACCCAUCGAGGUGGCGAAUUAUGUGCAGAAGGUGUUGAGUGAUGUGUUGGGGUUUGAGCGCACUGGAUUAACCAGGAAGGAUAAGUACAUGUUGCUUGGAGGGAACGAGGGAAAGGUGGAGACAAUGUACAACUACAAAAAAUAAUGUGUUAGUUUGCCAUUUUAUCUGCCAUUCUGAGAUUUUACAACUAUGUGUUCCUGAACUGUGGAUAUACAAAAUAUAUUCGG
rnacentral:misc_RNA from 1 species